rnacentral:rRNA from 1 species
AUACGGAGGAUGCGAGCGUUAUCCGGAUUUAUUGGGUUUAAAGGGUGCGUAGGCUGUGCGUUAAGUCAGGGGUGAAAUGCCGUCGCUCAACGACGGAGCUGCCCUUGAUACUGGCGUGCUGGAGUACGGAUGCCGUUGGAGGAAUGAGUGGUGUAGCGGUGAAAUGCUUAGAUAUCACUCAGAACACCGAUUGCGAAGGCACCUGACGAAUCCGUCACUGACGCUGAGGCACGAAAGCGUGGGGAUAGAACAGGAUUAGAUACCCUGGUAUUCCACGCCGUAAACGAUGAUGACUAACCGUCGGCGAUAGACAGCCGGUGGCCAAGCGAAAGCGAUAAGUCAUCCACCUGGGGAGUACGUCGGCAACGAUGAAACUCAAAUGAAUUGACGGGG